UACAGAGGGGGCAAGCGUUGUUCGGAAUCACUGGGCGUAAAGGGCGCGUAGGUGGCCUUCUAAGUUGAACGUGAAAUCCCUGGGCUCAACCCAGGAACUGCGUCCAAGACUGGGAGGCUUGAAUCCGGGAGAGGGAUGCGGAAUUCCAGGUGUAGCGGUGAAAUGCGUAGAUAUCUGGAGGAACACCGGUGGCGAAGGCGGCAUCCUGGACCGGUAUUGACACUGAGGCGCGAAAGCCAGGGGAGCAAACGGG
rnacentral:rRNA from 1 species